UUCAACUAACCAGAUCAACAUCUUCAUUUCCUUGUGGACUGAGCUUGCUGUCAGAACAAAGACGCCCGAUCUGUCUCAUUCCUGUCCUAUUUUCUUAUUCAUUGCUCUUUCGUUACUAAAGUGCAACAGGUUUCAAAAAAACAUGGUUAACAACGUGACGCAGAUUGGUAUUAUUAUGUGCCUGGUGUAUUUAUUCAAUGCUCCUGCUCUUUCCUAUAAUGAUGACAAACCUGUCUACAAGUGGAGCCCCCUAUAUUUCCGUAAUCUUAAGAAAGAUUUUUCGAGAUUCUCCUGUGCAACAGGAAACACCGUGUGUGGGUUUACACGACUUCCCUACGGAAUGAUCACGAGAUUACCUUGUUGUGACGGCCUAGUGUGCAAGAGGUUUGGUAAACAACACUUCUGUUUAAAGCCAUGGAGUUGGGACAAAACCAACGAUGUAUACUAAAGAUAUUUCGGAGCUCCGGAAUUGGUAUCCAUCAACUCGACUAAAUACUAACUGAGUUAAUAAGUUAUCUCAGAUCUUCAAAAGAUGUAUCUUAUAUUUAAUCGACUUGUGUAUUUAAAUUAAUGUAAGCUAAUCGUGAUGAACUUUCCUGUUGUUGGUUGCUAUGUUUACAAUUUGCUAUUUCUUACUAGUGCAUCUCAUAUUAUGAUCCUUUUUAAAAACAAAACAUGGAAAUCAAUAUAUUAAUAUUAGGACGACACUUGUGUAAAUUUUAGAUAACACAUAUGUUUAAAAACAAACAAACAACAUUUAAUAAUAUACGUUUAGUAAUUAACAUUUAAAAAUGAGACUGUUCCCAAUCUCAAACUACAAGAAGAAGUUUUACUUAAUUUACUAUAGAAAGAUAACAUAUUGUGGGUCUAAGAACAGCGUCCUAAACUUCGUACUUUAGUUAUUUUCCUAAAUCAAAUAUGUAACCGUAGAAAGAUGUUUUAAUCCUGAUAUUGUUGAUAGAGUCAUGACGAAAUUAAAAAAAGGGAUAAAAUAUUACGCUAAAACACUUACUUGAGAAAGAAGUGCUUGUAUUACCAUUUGUACCUGGUUUAUCAUGUCUAAUAAAGCAACAAAUUAGAAAAUAACAACAAGCUAUCCUUCCGAUACACGAACUGAUCAACAAGAUUAGCCAGAUUCUUAAUAUAACUAAAGAUAAAACUGAUUGGAAAAUGCUGGUAUAUACAAAAUAACAUGUUAAAGUGAGAAUAUUUAUAUAGGACAAACUAGAAAAAAAAUUAAAUUCAGAAUGAAUUAACAUAAAAGAAAUGUUGAGCACAGUAAUACCAAGAUCUAGCAUUUAGUUGAGUAUACUAAUGAAACUAAAUCCCUGAUUCAAUGGGAAAAUCUUAUUUUGCACAACUCGUGAGCAUCAGUGGUAACAAUAUCUGUGAAUCUAUUGAAAUAAUAAAAUGUAAUAACAAUAAUUUUAAAGUAUUAAAUAAGGGUGAAGACUCAGAGGGAAAUGUUGUUAAUAGAUGGCGUGAAAUUUUUAAAUUAAAUUUAUAUGUAUAUUUGAUCCAUAUGUGUUUUUUCGAGAAAAAACAUGAAUAGGUUUUAACUCUUGCAAAAUAUUACUCUUCUUAUGACAAUGAUGCAGUACGACGUCGAAACAUGUAGAGUGUAUGAGACUUUCUAGUAUUAGUACUUUAUCUAUAUACAAUAAAUCAUUAAGUACAUUUUUUUUGUAUUUCGAGACUGAGAAGAGUAUAAGUUUUAGAUAUUUAUUGUGUAUCAUUAAGCGUUAGUUUGUUCUUUAAACAUCUGUGUUAUCUGCCAUUAAUAUACGUUCAUCACUGAAUUAUUCAUUUAGGACAACAUGAUUUUAUUUUGGAAAUAUAUUCUAGUCAUAUAAUAACUAUCAUGAUAGCUGUGAAGCUAUAUUAAAAGUAUGUUAUAAUUUUAGAUUAAUGGUGAAAAUAUGAAAUAGACAGUGAAAACCUAUACUAACCAAAAAUCAAAUUAUCCAUACUUUAUCAUACUUUACCCAGUGCUUUAUAUUUACCGAUCUCUCCGGAUCUAAGAUCCGUAUCUUGUUUUUUUUUUCUUUUAUAAAUAUGAAACGUUUCAGUUAAUUUUAAGGCUGCUCCAGUUGCAUUAUUAAACUAUAGCUGGCCUACAGGCCCUUCCCGAAUAGUAGACUCAGUAACAUUUAAAUCGCUAUUUCCCAAAACUCGAAAUCCCACACCACACACACAAACACACACACAUGCCAAGAAGAAUCUACCACCUAUUUUUUCUAUAUAUUCAGCUUUAACUUUAUCUAUGAUACAGUAUUGUUUUAACUUUUUUGUUUCAUAAGCAAAUCUAAACAUUAGAAACAAGUGCUUAAUAGUUCUUGUUUUUAGUUCUUAUAAUUAUACACUUUGUUAAAACAAAACAUUAUUGAUUUUAAGCUAAUAUUGUUUGGUUUUAAACCUUAGAACAAUUUGUCACCUGGCACAAUGUUACAAAUAAGAUAACGUUUCUAUCACUCAACAAAAUGUUCCAAUUGGCCAAACGUUGAUAUUUAUAUAUAUAUAUUGUAUAUUAUAUAUUAGGUUACAGUUUGGCUACUUGUUUGAAUUACACCACGAUUUUCAGGACAUACUCUUAUUAUUUUGUUUGUUACUGAGCAAGAUAUUUUUAUUCAAUAUACAUAAGCUGAGAUGUAGAUGUGUUAUAGGAAAUCGAUACUACAUUCACAUAAAUAGAUUAGGUUUUGUUUACGUUAAGCUUACUUUAUGCUUUUCAGCACAAUUCACGUUUUUGUGGUGUACCUAAAAUCUGAUCGAUUACUUUUAGUAGCUGUAUGAUAUUUUCACUUUCUACAUGUGAAUAAGGUAGUUAUGAAAAUGACAGUAAGUGUACGAACUGUUCUGGAAACAUAUAUGUUCAAAUAAAGCAUAUUAUAAAAUCA